AUUGAACGCUGGCGGCAGGCCUAACGCAUGCAAGUCGAACGGUAACAGGAAUCAGCUUGCUGAUUCGCUGACGAGCGGCGGACGGGUGAGUAAUGUCUGGGAAACUGCCUGAUGGAGGGGGAUAACUACUGGAAACGGUAGCUAAUACCGCAUAACGUCGCAAGACCAAAGAGGGGGACCUUCGGGCCUCUUGCCAUCGGAUGUGCCCAGAUGGGAUUAGCUAGUAGGUGAGGUAACGGCUCACCUAGGCGACGAUCCCUAGCUGGUCUGAGAGGAGGACCAGCCACACUGGAACUGAGACACGGUCCAGACUCCUACGGGAGGCAGCAGUGGAGAAUAUUGCACAAUGGGCGCAAGCCUGAUGCAGCCAUGCCGCGUGUAUGAAGAAGGCCUUCGGGUUGUAAAGUACUUUCAGCGAGGAGGAAGGUGUUGUGGUUAAUAACCACAGCAAUUGACGUUACUCGCAGAAGAAGCACCGGCUAACUCCGAGCCAGCCGCCGCCGUAAUAC
rnacentral:rRNA from 1 species